rnacentral:rRNA from 1 species
GUGGUAAUGCCGGAUGCUCCAGUUGAUCGCAUGGUCUUCUGGGAAAGCUUUCGCGGUAUGGGAUGGGGUCGCGUCCUAUCAGCUUGACGGCGGGGUAACGGCCCACCGUGGCUUCGACGGGUAGCCGGCCUGAGAGGGCGACCGGCCACAUUGGGACUGAGAUACGGCCCAGACUCCUACGGGAGGCAGCAGUGGGGAAUAUUGCACAAUGGGCGCAAGCCUGAUGCAGCGACGCCGCGUGAGGGAUGGAGGCCUUCGGGUUGUAAACCUCUUUUAUCGGGGAGCAAGCGAGAGUGAGUUUACCCGUUGAAUAAGCACCGGCUAACUACGUGCCAGCAGCCGCGGUAAUACGUAGGGUGCAAGCGUUAUCCGGAAUUAUUGGGCGUAAAGGGCUCGUAGGCGGUUCGUCGCGUCCGGUGUGAAAGUCCAUCGCUUAACGGUGGAUCCGCGCCGGGUACGGGCGGGCUUGAGUGCGGUAGGGGAGACUGGAAUUCCCGGUGUAACGGUGGAAUGUGUAGAUAUCGGAAAAAAAAACACCA